GACGAACCGUGCGAACGUUAUUCGGAAUCAUUGGGCUUAAAGAGCACGUAGGCGGCGGCGUAAGUGAGGGGUGAAAUCCUAUCGGCUCAACCGUGGAAUUGCCUUUCAUACUGCGUCGCUUGAGGAAGGUAGGGGCAAGUGGAACUUCCAGUGGAGCGGUGAAAUGCGUAGAUAUUGGGAGGAACACCAGUGGCGAAGGCGGCUACCUGGACCGGUUCUGACGCUGAUGCGCGAAAGCGUGGGUAGCAAACAGG
rnacentral:rRNA from 1 species